CAUCCUCAAUCCCCAUCAACUCAUUCCCACCAUGACCACCAACAACAAGUGCAACAUCCCCAAACACAUCCUUAUACCUAAGAAAAUUAGACCAAUGAGUAAGCCCCUCCACCCAGUCAAACUCACUCACAUCAUCACAAUCCCCUCCUCCUCCGGACCCAAAAAACUCGGGCCUCUUGAUCUUCUGCUUCACAAGCAAAUACUGGUGCCGCAUGUUCUGCACCUUCGUCGAAACGUCCUUCCAACUCCACUGCCAAGGG
rnacentral:lncRNA from 1 species